AUUGAACGCUGGCGGCAUGCCUUACACAUGCAAGUCGAACGGCAGCACGGGUGCUUGCACCUGGUGGCGAGUGGCGAACGGGUGAGUAAUACAUCGGAACAUGUCCUGUAGUGGGGGAUAGCCCGGCGAAAGCCGGAUUAAUACCGCAUACGAUCUACGGAUGAUAGCGGGGGACCUUCGGGCCUCGCGCUAUAGGGUUGGCCGAUGGCUGAUUAGCUAGUUGGUGGGGUAAAGGCCUACCAAGGCGACGAUCAGUAGCUGGUCUGAGAGGACGACCAGCCACACUGGGACUGAGACACGGCCCAGACUCCUACGGGAGGCAGCAGUGGGGAAUUUUGGACAAUGGGCGAAAGCCUGAUCCAGCAAUGCCGCGUGUGUGAAGAAGGCCUUCGGGUUGUAAAGCACUUUUGUCCGGAAAGAAAUCCUUGGCCCUAAUACGGUCGGGGGAUGACGUUACCGGAAGAAUAAGCACCGGCUAACUACGUG
rnacentral:rRNA from 1 species